UGCGGGGGGUGCAAGCGUUGCUCGGAAUUAUUGGGCGUAAAGCGUACGCAGGCGGCUUGGCAAGUCGAGUGUGAAAUCCCGGGGCUCAACCCCGGACUGGCAUUCGAAACUGCUGAGCUUGAGUGCGGGAGAGGGAAGCGGAAUUCCUGGUGUAGAGGUGAAAUUCGUAGAUAUCAGGAGGAACACCGGUGGCGAAAGCGGCUUCCUGGCCCGAUACUGACGCUCAUGUACGAAAGCGUGGGGAGCAAACAGG
rnacentral:rRNA from 1 species